rnacentral:rRNA from 1 species
CGGAGGGAGCUAGCGUUGUUCGGAAUUACUGGGCGUAAAGCGUACGUAGGCGGUUACUCAAGUCAGAGGUGAAAGCCCGGGGCUCAACCCCGGAACUGCCUUUGAAACUAGGUAGCUAGAAUCUUGGAGAGGUCAGUGGAAUUCCGAGUGUAGAGGUGAAAUUCGUAGAUAUUCGGAAGAACACCAGUGGCGAAGGCGACUGACUGGACAAGUAUUGACGCUGAGGUACGAAAGCGUGGGGAGCAAACAGGAUUAGAUACCCUGGUAGUCCACGCCGUAAACGAUGAUAACUAGCUGUCCGGGCACUUGGUGCUUGGGUGGCGCAGCUAACGCAUUAAGUUAUCCGCCUGGGGAGUACGGUCGCAAGAUUA